CUCAGUAGUAACUGGAGAAGUAUGUAGCUGAAGAUCACAAGCUCCCAGAGCGUUUUAAAUAUAAACCUGCCCUGUGUGUAUGUGACAGUCCCUGAAGGAACACAGUCCUCUUCGCCUUGCUACGGGUUUAUGCAGCGCCAAACCUGAGGGAGGCCACUUCGGAGACACCUUGCUAAUUCUCAAACCCAGCUACUUUAGGGUCAGGAGAUGGAUGGCUCAAACUAACCUUGCCGAAAUCAACUAAGUUUCAGGAUGGCCUUCUGUUUGUGACAAUGAGUCAGAAGAGAAACAGGGCAUCCCCUUUCCCACCCCGUUUUGAGGUGCUAAAAACUAGAAUCUGAGAGACUGGCCUUGUGAUGCUAAUUCCUUAGGUUUCUCCGUCUGAAGAAUGAGGAAAUUCAACUAAGUGAUGUCUGAAGUCCCUGUUAGCUCCAGAAAUAACGGAUGUUGACUUGGAAGACUAGGUCCCUGGAGCACCCUUCCUCUGGUUUCCAGAGGGGGUUCCUGUAGAAACGAAGAGCAUGGCCACAACGAGGGACGCUGUAUCCUCGCUGCUGUCACUCUGGAAGGGGGUGCAUCCCUGGACUGCUGCAGGUCCAACAAGCAGUGGUCUUUUCCAAAGCUAUCAUUUAUCCAUCACUCUCUGGGCCUGGCAGUAGAAAUGGCAUCCUGCUCCACCCACUGCAUGGGCUCCUCAGCACCGUCUAUUGCUGUCUUUUACCCUGUCCCCACCAUUAAAA
rnacentral:lncRNA from 1 species